UGUUUACAUGCUGUGUUUAAAGUUGCCACAUUUCUCCUUAUUUUUAGCCUGAUGCUAAUAGUGGAAAUGUCCAUUUGAAAGUGGGACUCACACCUCAC